UCUGUAACCUCCAGCCCAGUGCUGAAUGUGAGAUGAGCAUACAGUACGGGGGUGGAGGGGGAGAGAUAGAUUCUUGAAACAAUGAAGUCUCUCUGGACAAUUUAGCAUUAUUUCCCUUUUGACCUGUGCUCAGGCACCCAUUUUAAAGUGAGAUCCAGAGGAGUUUAAUGGGGGGUGGAAGCAGGUGUCUAGAAAGGUCUCCAGAUGAAUGUGUUCAAAAGCAGAAUUGAGAUGGAUGAAGCAGGUGUUAGAGGCAAAAACAAACAAAAACCAUGGAAAACAAGGAAUUGAAUUUGACAUACCUUGGAGAUGGAAGGUGAGUGUACUGGGCUUAAUAAAUGUUCCUUGAAUGUUCAUGUCUACCUGGGACCUCAGAAUGGGACCUUGCUUGGGAAUAGGGCCUUUGCAGAUAAUAGUUAAUGAAAUAAACUCAUGCUAGAUGAGUGUGGCCCUGAAAUUCAGUGAUUAGCAUCUUUAUAAGAAGAGCAGAGAAUGCACAGAGAAGAAGACAGAAGCAUACCUGAGUGAUGUAGCUUCAAGCUAAGGAAGGCCAAAGAUUUCCAGGAAACACCAGAAGUCAGGAAAGGCAAAGAAAGAAUCUUUCUUGUAGUCUUCAGAGAAGGCAUGGCCUUGUGGGCACCUUGAUUUUGAAUUUAUAUCCUGAAUUGUGGAAUAAUAAAUUUCUGUUGUUUUGAAUCACACAUUUUGUGGUAACUUGUAUGGCAGCCCUGGGAAACCAAUGCAGUGGGGUUCACUGUAUAUAUUAAAAAUUCCAGGGAAACAAAAUGCUUAGAUGACUGUGUGUCUCUGUUUUCAGCACUAGGACCAGCACUGAGUUUCUAAUUGUGGUAAGAAAUUUAAACUUGUUAUUCAUGAUGGAAUUAUGACAAGAACUACAUAGGGGCAAAUCCACUCUUGAAAGCACCUCGUCCCUUAGGUGGAGGUGACCUAUCAGAUACUUGGGGCAUCAUGACCUUAAUGGAAAGCCAUGGGCAGAGCCUUCACUAUUAUGUGCAGGAAGAAGAAAUCAUACUAGAUGGGGUCUAUUGAGUGCUUACAUUUUUAUGCAGAAGAAAUCUGGUUAGAAUAAUCACCAGGUAUAGAGGAAGUACAUGCAAGAGGAGGGUAAUGGGGUGUACUAUGGUGGUUUGUGUGAAAAGGUGCACGGAAUGUGGGUAGGGUGGAAGUGGGAGAGGAGAAGGGGAAAUGGUAAAUGUCCUAAGCUGGUUUUUGCAGUGAGAGCUAUGUAAGAAAACUGCCUUCUUUUUCUGGGACACCAAGAAGCUCUGUCUUUCAGCUAGAAGUCCAUAAGAGCUGGGCAUGGUGGUGCAUGCCUGUAAUUUCAGCUACUUGGAAGUCUGAGGUAGGAGGAUCAUAUUUUGAGGCCAGCUUCAGCAAUUUAUCAAGGCCCUAGACAACUUAUUGAGACCCCCACCUCAAAAUAAAAAAAUACGGGCUGGGAAUGUGAUAAAGCACCCCUGAGUUCAAUUCUUAGAACAACAACAAUAACAACAACAAAAGCCCAUUACAUAGAGGGCAGGACAGGAGAUAGCUUGGCCUUUAUAGGCACUCCAAAAACUUUUUUCUCUUCACAGUGUCAGAGGUGCCCAGGCAUAGUGGAUGCACAGUGGGAACCAAGCUGGUUCUAUCCACGGUCACCUGUUCUGUGUGAGCAAGUCCAUCCUCUCUCUGGUUUUUGGUAUUAUUUCCCUUUUAUGGAGGCUUUCAGGGUUGAUGUGACUAUUGUGAAAAACAUUUUGUAAACCUCAAAAUGCUAUAUAAUAUUGUAUGUUGUAGUUCUCUCCAGGACUGAACAGGAAUCUAGAUGGAGUCCUACCCUUGGGGUUUGGGGAGGCUCACACAUUGUGAGACGUAAUGCAGGUUUCAGGGUGGGAGGAUAGAGGUAUUAUGCAGAUGGAUGGGGUGAUGAUUGCACAACAGAGUGAGUGCACUCAGUGCCACCAACUUAUAUACUUAAAAGUAGCUAAAAAGGCAAGUUUUAAUGUCUGUAUCUUCCCACAUUAAACAAACAAACAAACAACAACAAAACACUUCAAGCAUUCUUCCCCCAGCUCCUGCAGAAAAGUAAUACAAAUACUGGAUAAACUGUUAUUCAUGUAAAUUUGACACUCCAGGUGUUACAGAGCGGUUAUUAACACUUUGUGGUGAAUGCUCAUAUUUGCAGUUAUUGUGAGGAAUCAGCCCUGUUUACUGGGGCUCAACACAAUACAUUGUUGUUAUUGCUUUUGGAUGUCUCUAGAAAUUCCCUUGAGAGGGGGUAAAUUAGAUCAUAAUAAUUGAAAUAGAAAUGAACUAUCAACUAUACUCAAUAACAAAUGAUCUGAAAUGACUUUGCUAGUUCUACCUCUGUCCUCAAACUUAGUCUCCAUCCUCAGCACUACCCUUUCUUCUUUCUUUCUUCCCUUUCAUUCCCAAUUUGCUCUUUAUCCCAGUAUGUCAGGGUAGAAACAGAUUCUCAUGGCACAGAAAUAUAUGUCUCACAUCAUUAUCCUAGGUACAUGUGUGAUUACAUGAAUGGUGCAUCUCUACACCGUGUAAAACCAGAGAAUUGAAAUGUCGUGCUCCAUUUAUGUACAAUGAAUUGAAAUGUAUUCUGCUGUCGUGUACAAGUAAGUAGAACAAAUUUUUAAAAAACACCAAAAAAUAAAAAAAAUAAAAGGAAAUACACAUCUCAUGGUCCUUGUGCAUGUCACCAAAAACAUUCUGUGUCCAUAGAUCCUAUCCUCUGGCCAAGAUCUGCUCCCUAAAGUGAGAGCCAUAUGAACAUCUCCCAGAUCAUUUAAUCCUCUGAGCCUGUGGGCAUUCACAUCAAAGGCUUAUAGGAUCACCUCCCAAUUUUCUUCUUUCUCUAGCUCCAAGAUGCUUUUGAAGAUCAGAACCACAGGUAUAAAUUAACCAGGCACAGAAAGAGAAAUCCUGCAGGAUCUCAUAUGUGGAAUCUGAAAAAAUAGUCUCACAGAUUUCAUAGACCCCCAAAUAAAGUGUUUAAGCUUUGAUGUUCAAAUAUUGGGACAUGUAUUGUGCCUCUUCCAAAUCAUCCCUAGAAAUGAUACAGAACACCUUUAAUGUAGAAUGGCCCAUGGUUCCAGGUGAUGUUGAGUCCCACCCAGAGCCAGGCACAGCUCUUAAAUGUGAUGGCUGCUUGUGUUUCCAACAGGCUGCUAGGUUACUAAGAAGGGUUUGGGGGCAAGGAAAAUUCAGCACCUUCUUUGUGGGCUGCUUCUUGUUGAAUUUUGCUCCACAGGUUGGAGGACAAAUUCCAGUCCUUCUAAGUAGGCCUUAAAAGUCUGGGUGGAGUGGGCACUCCUGGAGUCUGUGGAGAUUAUCAGACAAGAAGCUCAUGGCCUUGAGUGGUCAGGAGAGGCAGGAGUAAGAGCCAGUGUGAAGGUGUGGGAGUCAGAAGGAACUUGGAACUCAGCUCCUUGUGGCCUUUCAACUUGAGAUUCACAAAGAAAAAAAGCGAUAUCUCC
rnacentral:lncRNA from 1 species